rnacentral:sRNA from 1 species
GAAGACUGUAUUAUAUUCCAUGGGGUCAGCUAGAGAAAAUCUGUGAUAACUUUGUUGAAAAUGAAAUACACUUUGGAUUUUUUUUUGCAAGAAUUAAAAAAAGGAACAAUAACCCACAUGCAUUGAGCCUUCUAUACAUCAUCUCUCUUAAUUCUCUAAAGAUAAUUGUUACCAUUAUCCACCUCUUGUAGGUAAGAAAGUUGAGUUCUAGGGAUAUUUAGUAACUGGCCCAAAGUCAAACAGCUAUUAAGUGGUAGUGUUGGAAUUUGGACCCAAAUUCUGACUGCAGAGCCAGGGCAUGUAAAAACUGCCUUGCAGGAAAGGAGGUAAAAAAAAUGUGCAAAAUUUAGAAUCCUGCCUUUCUAAAACAUCAUACUGAAUUGGCUUUGAAAGAUAAAUUCAUCUAAACUGUAUGAGCUCUAACACUUCACCCUCAUGAUUGCAUGAAGUCAGAGGGCUUGUUAUACCCAUGUGAAGAGUUGGCGGAGGGGUCAUUAGGAGGUGCUUAUGGAGAGCCGCUGCUCAGUUCAGGCCGUGCUAUUAGUGUGGACUGCUGCUGUCUGAUUUGGGAGGAAUCUCACUGCUGCCUGUGGUUGUAGGGCAGAACAGUUAAAUCUUCAUAGCCUUUUGGUAUUAUUGAGUGUUAAUAAUAGUCAUGACACAAGUACAGUUUCCUCCUGUCAGGUCUUGCUAUAAGUAAUGGUAGAUGUUCUUGUGACCACAAAAAAUUAUUUUGCAAUAAUGAUCUGCUCGGAGGUCUCCCAACCAGGUGAACAAAGGUUCACCUGGGUCCUUCCUGUAUGACUACAGACGUAUCACUUCAUGACCACAACACUUCCCUGGAAUGGUUUACCAGUAGGAAAAAAGAUUAUGUGUUAAUUACCAUCCUCUAUAUUUUGAUUGUUUGGGGCAGCUGAGAACUUCCUUUAGACUGAUUCCAAAUAUCUAUUACCUUAUUAAGCAACAUCUUUUCAGAACAAGGAAUACCUCUGUUGUAUCUGUUGUUUUAUUCAGAAUCCCUGAAUUCAGUAUCCAUUAAGCCUGAAGUCUUUUCUCAGUCUCUGCAUCAGACAAUCUUGUAUUCUGCUUUUGAUCUGCAGAAAAUUAAACUUGUUUGUUUCAUCCAUUUAUUAGAUUAGGAUACAUUUAUCUCUUCUGUCAGUCCAAACACAACUUGGUCAGCUAAUCUAUUUACGCCACUUUGAAAUAGGACAAUGUAUAUUUAGGUUCCCACUUCUCUGCAGGGCAAGUUUUUUUAAGGGGAGGUUUGCAUUUGUUUUCUCAAUUUGCCUCAAUUAGGACAUGCUAGACACACAUCUUAUUCAAACACCCUGUACAUUUUUAUAAACAGCAGACUGGAAUUGUUAAGUAUAUCCAACUGCUGACUUAAAAAAAAAAACUGUUUGGGUAAAUCCAAUUCUUCCUAUAAAGGCUGUACAUGGAAUCAAUUUCCAUGUCCUUAUCAAUGUCAUGAAGACGUUCAGUUUGCUUCCGCAUUGGUUACGGGUGUCUUGUACCAUUCCCUGCGGUAAUAUGUGGUGUGUGUACAUGUAUGUUUAUGUAUAUCUAUAGGGGUCCCAUUAAUGCUCUGUCAUUUAAUGGAAAAUUGUUGUAGCAAUAGCUUCAUCAGGCCAAUAAUGCUUCCGUGUUGACCACCAAUAGCAGUUUCAAAAGGAAUUUAUUCUGAUGGACUUUGCUUCAAAUCAUGUGCCCAUGAUGGCAGCUAGACUGCUCCAUUAUAUAAACCCAGGCCCUAAUACCUUGAUUUGCUUUGAUUUCCUCAACUGGGAGCAUGCCAGCCUGGGAAGUAAGCAGUAGUGCUUAAUGAUGGCAUUAUCCAACUAAAUGUAUGGGGCAGUGGACAUUGGACUCUGGACAAAAUCUUUGGGGAAAGCUUUAGACUAGUGGGCCCCCUAUAAACACAACAGUAUGGUGUAGCCUUCAAGGUUUUAUUCAGAACAUGACCUCACAAAUGUAUCUUCUCUGUUUGUUUUUGUUCACUGAGCAGUAUAUUAAUUAAUCCUGGAAACCAUCUUAAGAUCCAAGAAGGUACUUUAGGAUUUUUCAUCGCAAGUGAUGCCAAAGAAGUUAAAAGUUGAAGAUGAGCAGCCAUCAACACUAUCACCAAAAAAAAAGCAACGGAAUGGAGGCAUGCGGAACUCACCCAACACCUCGCCUAAGCUGAUGAGGCAUGACCCCUUGUUAAUUCCUGGCAAUGAUCAGAUUGACAACAUGGACUCCAAUGUGAAGAAGUACGACUCUACUGGGAUGUUUCACUGGUGUGCACCCAAGGAGAUAGAGAAAGUCAUCCUGACUCGAAGUGAAGCUGCCAUGACCGUCCUGAGUGGCCAUGUCGUGGUCUGCAUCUUUGGCGAUGUCAGCUCAGCCCUGAUCGGCCUCCGGAACCUGGUGAUGCCGCUCCGUGCCAGCAACUUUCAUUACCAUGAGCUCAAGCACAUUGUGUUUGUGGGCUCUAUUGAGUACCUCAAGCGGGAAUGGGAGACGCUUCAUAACUUCCCCAAAGUGUCCAUAUUGCCUGGUACGCCAUUAAGUCGGGCUGAUUUAAGGGCUGUCAACAUCAACCUCUGUGACAUGUGCGUUAUCCUGUCAGCCAAUCAGAAUAAUAUUGAUGAUACUUCGCUGCAGGACAAGGAAUGCAUCUUGGCGUCACUCAACAUCAAAUCUAUGCAGUUUGAUGACAGCAUUGGGGUCUUGCAGGCUAAUUCCCAAGGGUUCACACCUCCAGGAAUGGAUAGAUCCUCUCCAGAUAACAGCCCAGUGCACGGGAUGUUACGUCAACCAUCCAUCACAACUGGGGUCAACAUCCCCAUCAUCACUGAACUAGCUAAACCGGGCAAGUUGCCUUUGGUAUCAGUCAAUCAGGAAAAAAACAGUGGGACGCACAUUCUAAUGAUAACUGAACUGGUGAACGAUACUAAUGUUCAGUUUUUGGACCAAGACGAUGAUGAUGACCCUGAUACAGAACUGUACCUCACGCAGCCCUUUGCCUGUGGGACAGCAUUUGCCGUCAGUGUCCUGGACUCACUCAUGAGCGCGACAUACUUCAAUGACAAUAUCCUCACCCUGAUACGGACCCUGGUGACCGGAGGAGCCACGCCGGAGCUGGAGGCUCUGAUUGCUGAGGAGAACGCCCUUAGAGGUGGCUACAGCACCCCGCAGACACUGGCCAAUAGGGACCGCUGCCGCGUGGCCCAGUUAGCUCUGCUCGAUGGGCCAUUUGCGGACUUAGGGGAUGGUGGUUGUUAUGGUGAUCUGUUCUGCAAAGCUCUGAAAACAUAUAAUAUGCUUUGUUUUGGAAUUUACCGGCUGAGAGAUGCUCACCUCAGCACCCCCAGUCAGUGCACAAAGAGGUAUGUCAUCACCAACCCGCCCUAUGAGUUUGAGCUCGUGCCGACGGACCUGAUCUUCUGCUUAAUGCAGUUUGACCACAAUGCCGGCCAGUCCCGGGCCAGCCUGUCCCAUUCCUCCCACUCGUCGCAGUCCUCCAGCAAGAAGAGCUCCUCUGUUCACUCCAUCCCAUCCACAGCAAACCGACAGAACCGGCCCAAGUCCAGGGAGUCCCGGGACAAACAGAAUGCAACAAGGAUGAAUAGAAUGGGCCAAGCAGAAAAGAAAUGGUUUACAGAUGAACCGGAUAAUGCCUAUCCCAGAAACAUUCAAAUCAAGCCCAUGAGUACCCACAUGGCUAACCAGAUCAACCAAUAUAAAUCCACAAGCAGCUUGAUUCCACCAAUCAGAGAAGUUGAAGAUGAAUGUUGACUCCCAGGAGACCAGAACUAUUUUUUUAAAGCCUGACAAACUUCAUAAAUGGUGAUGUGACUUUUCUUCUUACAUGCUGAAUCACUGGUGGAAACGUUAGGAUAAGCAAGAAUUGCCAGAAAAUAAAGUAGACAGAUCUUUCUCUUUGUCUGCCUUGAAUAUUGCUUCCAUGUAUUUUGGAAAAGAAAAUGAUUUCAUUUAUAAAUGAACAUACUAAAAUAGUCAUGUAUAGCCUCUAGCAUUUUAAAUUAUUUUUAUUUAUUAGAAAGAAAAUAUAUUUUUUCUUUUCAUUGUCAAAUAUCUUCCCUAUAUCUAAACA